ensembl:lncRNA
UAAAUAUAUAAAUAGAUAAAUAAAUAAAUAUGAUGGAAACAUAAAUAUGAUGGAGAUAUAUGACAUAAAUCAUCAUUUUCUCCAUUUGCUGUGUAUGUAUCUUGUAUCAUCUACCUACCUAUAUCUAAUUUAGAGUUUUUCAGUAUCAGUAUCAGGUGUCAGUACUGCUGGCAUUUUGAACUGAAUAAUUCUGGGGGUGAGGAUACGAUCCUGUGUAUUUUAGGGUAUAUAGCAGCAUCCUGGGCCUCUAUCUACUAGAUUUUGGUAGCGAUAUUCCCCCUGCUCCAAAUUGUGACAAUCACAAAUAUCUCCAAACAAUGCCAGAUGUCCCUGUGAGGUGGGGAGGGACUGAUCCAAUUUAUCAUCUGUUCAUUUAUUUUUCCUGGAUAAAUGUAAAAAUGUUCAGAAAGCACAGAGUAGAAAUUAUUAUUCCCAUCUUGCAGAUGAAGAAACUGAGACUGAGAGUUUUGGUGACUGGCACACAGUUACAUAAAUAUUAAGAGAUGGCACAGAAUUGCAAAAGUAGAUUUUCCUCAUCAAAAAAAAAUCCAUGUCCUUUCUAUGAUACUAGGCUAUUUUAAAUUAAACAUAAUGCUAUAUUUUAUCAUCAAUGCCAUCAUUCUCCUUUAUUCUCAAUUUAAAAUCAUCCUCACACUUAAUUCUGACUCUCGAGAAACAUAUGUCUUCCAGCCAAAACAUAUGUAAAUGUAUUUAAACCCCAAACCCUCUUUGUAAAAAAAUUUAUUUUAGAUUCAGAAGCACACAUGCAGGUUCCAUGGGUAUAUGGCACAAUGGUGGAGUUUGGGCUUUAAGUACUCAUCACUCAAAUAGUGACUAUUUUAUAAAAUCCUAUCCUCCACUCAAGACUUAACCCUAUUUCCAAUCCCAAUUCUUAGUGACACAAUUGCUUUCUCAAUUUUGUUUCCUAUGAUCCCAGACCAUGAGGAUGUUAGCAGAGAAGAGGGAGUCCUGAAAUGCCAGUUAACCCAGCAGAAGUUGAUGAGCUCACUUACAGCCAGGGACAUGGUUUCCCAGGUAUACAGUUCCACUGUAAAUGAGGUGGUGGGUUUCUUCACCUCUGCCGAUCCACUGAAUUUUAUAAGAAAAGCCAGUGGGCUCCCAGACAAAGUUAAAAAGAUCUCCAAUGAUGGAAGAAAUAGAUGAUGGUGUACGCAUUGUGUGAGGUAUCAUACAGCUAUUUAAAUGAUGGGUUAUGACGGCCAUGUAAUAUGGAGAUAUUUGCAAGUUAUAUCACAUUAAGUGAAAAAAAGAUGCACAAUGUUAUAUGUUAUAAACCUCACAUUAAUAUGUUUUAAAAAUAAAAAGGCACUCCUAAUUAUGACUAAUAAUGUUUAAAAUGUAGCACUCUCAUCCCAGAACGCAUACGCAAAGUGGCCUCAUCUGUGAGGUGGGUAGUAGGUCUUUUAUCUACUCUGUCCUUGUUGGGUCUCAGAAUCCCAUUGGUUUAGGCUUGAUUCGGGUAUCUGUAAUUAACAGAACAGGUGGCAUGUGAGCUGUGAGUGAAAGGUGGGAUCUCAUUUAGGAUUUAAUGAAGGUAAUCAGAAGAUGGGGUUACUAUGGUUGAACCUAAUCUGAAACGACAACUUUAUAGAGAAUUUUUUUAAACAGUUGGCUUACCCAUAAUUUAUGUAACCUUUGAGUAUUACAAAGCAGAACUAUAAUUGAGGACUUUUUUUGUAACUCAGACAUGGUAAAAUGUUUAGCUUAUAGAGGAUUGUCUGUUUUUACUUAGGGUUUUUGUUUGUUUGUUUUGUUUUUGCCAGCCAUGUUUUCUUUCUAUAUAAUUUUGGAUGCAUGUAGAUUUGCCCAUGAUAGCAAUUCCAUGGGUCAGGCCUAUGACUGUGAACUGCAGGAUUUUCUAGGUUUCUGUUCCUGGAAGUUGUUUAAUUUUAAAAAUGUGAAUGAUAGAAUUAUUAUAAAGUCAGGUUUAAAGGGCAUUCUGCUUUCCCCCAACAUGUUCCACCACAUGUAGCCACCCCUCUGGUUUGCUAUGAGCCGCUCAUUCUUAUUUCUGUCCCCUUGAAUGGUUGGAAUUUUUCUUUGAUUGCCUUUGGGUGUGGUGCUGUGAAGGGUUUUUAGGAAGAAGUGAUUAUUUUUCAAAAUGGGAAGUUAACAAAGAAUAAAAGUAAUGUCUUAGCAGCAGAACUAUAAAUUCCACUCCUUUUCCAAAGAAGAGGAAGAAGAAGAGGAAGAGGAGAAGGAAGAAGGAGAAGGAAGGAGGAGGAGGAGAAGAAGGAGGAGGAGGAGAAGAAGAAGGAGGAGGAGAAGAAGAAGAAGAGGAAGAGGAAGAGCAGGAAAAGGAGGA